GGGGGUGUCGGCAAGUGGUAAGCCACGUGAUUUUGGUUCAUGUAUUCGGAGGUUCGAAUCCUUCCACCCCUGCCA
rnacentral:tRNA from 1 species